ACAAAAGCUAACUCCUGCAUCAAC
rnacentral:siRNA from 1 species